GCGCCUGGGCGAACGAACCGGUGGGAUGCGUCCUUCGGACUCCGGAUCAGAAGGUUAGGGGUUCGAGUCCCUUCGGGCGCA
rnacentral:tRNA from 1 species